GCACCCAGAAACAGUCGUGUGGGAAGUCCACCAGCGAUGGCAAACAGAACAUGCGGCCACGGAGCAUUCUAAGCAGACACACGAACACCUUGCCCAAGCACAUGUAUGAAUGCAUGUGCGGCGCGAACAUCUGAAGUGUCUUGACAGUCGUUGACCUUCAAGACGAAAGACAGCUCGAGAGAGGGAGGAGGAGGGGAAACAGCAUGGAAGGCACGUGUGCUUAUACUGCAUUUGUCCCUCAUUCAUCACCUUAACCACAAAGGUCAUUGAUUAAGAGAUGGAAGCCAAGCAUGGCCGAGCAGAGAGCAGUGACUCCCACUUGCAUGCGGAAACCACAUGCUCACACUGACAACACGCAGCAACACUCAGCGGUCCGCCGUGCAGAGCGCCAUGACAUGUCCAGUAUAUGAAUGGAAUUCUGGGAGACAGAAUGACAGUCAUCACUGCUGACUUAGUUAACUUUGUUGAGUCCUAAAUAUACUAUGAAUCACUGACCAGCCAUGGCAUUAUGAUCACCACGUAAUGAUUUGCUGCGUUGGACAACAUUAUAGGAGGAGUGCAAGUGAUCAGAACGCAGUGGCCGCUCAGUGUAUCUCUUGAUUUGCAGGUACAAAUGUGUCUGAGAAUUUGGAUCACAAAUUAUAAUUGACUUAUAUAUGAUUAUUGUCUCUUUAUUUUUAAGGAUUCAUAUUCUCCUUCGGCUUUGUGUUUGUCUGAAGGCAUGUGGCUGAUGGGCAGAAUCAGAAUCAUCUUUAUUGGCCAAGUAUUGUACAACACAAUAAUUUGUCGCUGGUAGUUGGUGUCACCGUAGUACUACAGAAAAAAGACAUUAUAGUAUAACAAAAUAUACUUUGGAGAGAUACCCUUAGUCCAAAUGUACCAAUGACAAAGAGUCAUUAAGGAUUGGAGAAAAGAUGAAGGACAACAAGAAAACAGAGCAAAUGUAGAAAAUGUCGAGUGGUGGAGACUGUCGUGCGUAAUGCUGUAGCAAGCACAACAAAAGGCACUCCCGGGUUUAUGGCAACAAUACAAUUUUCACUGGAUAAGUUUGGAACUCUGGCCGGUUAACUACUGGUACUCCACUUGCAGCAAGAACUAAUCCAAAAAUGGUGAGCUGAGUGGGUACACACGACCACUGUGCAGAGGAGAUGCAAAGACUCCGCUUUUGACACUGAUCAAUAUUGUAACCAUAAACCUUUAUGGAUACAAAACAUUGAAGGAAGGAAAGCAAGACACACAUGCAUUCAGGUAAGUUCGUUUCUUCUUGUGUUGUUUGUACAAUACGACAACAAGAAACUGCAAUUUGUGACAUACAGGAGCACAGAAAGUGAACAGGCCAUGGGAGUGAGCAGCCCUCAGCAGGAGGGACUACACGAUGCAAAGACAAGUGGCUACUUACACAUAUAACCCGAUUGGGAGAGCCAAUGGAUGAGCCUGGAGGAGAGAUGGAGGUCUCUGACAGGCGUCUGUGCUGUGAGAUAAGGAAAGAAGGAUGUGACCAUGCAAGUGAAGGACACAAGCGUGUCACCACAUCGAAGCCAACACCAUUCCAUUGAAUCCAGCCUCGUCCUAAAUGCAGAGUUCUCACCCAUGCGUCUCAGUGGAGCUGACGUCGAAGGCGUGCCCCCAAACCAUCAACUCUACCUUUCUGACACACCAUCAGGGAAUUGCUAUUUAUAGACACUCUGCCGACAUGUAUGUGAUGUGCCAAAGAGGCCUGAGCUGUUUCAUCUUAAUUCACUGAGACCGAGCAGGUAUAUUGCAUGCUGUUAACAUCAUCGACUUUAGAUGCUGACACCUGCAGAUACGUUUUCUGUUUUUAACUAAACACAUUCUAUGUGACUUGCAGGAAAUUGUCUGUCUGUAAUAACUGCAGUAUAUUCAAGAAGAAGAAGACGAAUGAAUAUUUGUCUCAUGAUUUCCAAGAACAAAGAGCUUAGUGUCGGUGGUCAUAUGGUAUGUUAUUUGUACAACAGCUGGAAUAAGUGCUGCAUUGUCUGAGGCAUUAAGAGGCUGCUCUUGAUA